rnacentral:rRNA from 1 species
UCGGGAUAAGCCUGGGAAACUGGGUCUAAUACCGGAUAGGAGCCAUUUUUAGUGUGAUGGUUGGAAAGUUUUUUCGGUGUAGGAUGAGCUCGCGGCCUAUCAGCUUGUUGGUGGGGUAAUGGCCUACCAAGGCGGCGACGGGUAGCCGGCCUGAGAGGGUGGACGGCCACAUUGGGACUGAGAUACGGCCCAG